AGUGCCCCUGAAACGGGCAGCUUAAGCGACUUUUCCAAGGUCACCCAGCUUGUUAGUGGCAGAGUCCAUGAUUCUUGACUCUGAUUUUCAGUUUACUAUGUUGAAAGGAUACAUCCCUCUGCUAGGCUCAUCCUUGUCCUCCCUCAAGGGAAAGACAGAGAAGAAAGGAAAGAUCAUGACGCUAUCAACAUACACAGCACGAUAGUGGAGUUAAUGAGACUGACUGCCGGGGAUUAGCCUUGGAUUAACUGGUUAACGUCACUUUGGUUUGAAGUUAAAUGCGGUGGGCUGAAGGCUGUGUCCCAUCCAGGCAUGUGUCAUCAGAGUUCUCAUUGUGUGCUGAAGAAACUCUCUCUCUGGGCCCUCCUCCUCUUGUCCCUGCUUUCUCCCAGGCCCCCCAUGUCCCUCUUUGGAAAGAAUGUCUAUUUCAAAUUCGACCAAGGGCUGUGGAAUUUCAGGCAGAUAGGGGAGCACUUGGGAAAAGUUAUCUUCCCUUCCGUGCCCUCCCUGCCUGGGACAGGGAAAGGGUGCUGGGCUGAGUGCCAGGGUCACCUCGGCCACCAUCAUCCACCAGCCUUCCCCCAGCCAGUCAGAAGGUCUUAGGAGAAAACUUUGUGGGCUCGCCUCCACUUGCCUUGAUUUCUGAAGAAUAUUUUUUAUCAUCCAUUAUCUAAUUGUGUUUAGUAACGUGCGCCUUGGAGGGAAGGAGUACCGCCCCCAAAUGGUCAUUUGCCUUGUCCUCUUAGAUGCAUUCCCCCACGCCUCUCCCAUCACUCAAUCCUGGGGAUGAGGUGCUCUCGCCCUUCCUGCUUCCUGGGCCCUGACUGGUCCAAAGCCAUCAAGCGCUCUUGCUCGGUGAUUGGUCUGUUAACCUAAGUCUAAACCAAUCAGCACGCAGCUCCCUCUAGAAAGUCGCUCAGGGCUGAUCCAAUCAGUGCAAAGCUUAGGUCCCUCGCUGUCCUGUAAACAGGAAAAAGAACACCGACCCCAGGGGAGGCUAAGUACCAUUUGAGACUGUGGGGAAGGCAGCCUGAGGUUGAAACCAAAGCACAGAGAAGAGCAGAGCGUCCAGAAAUGCGGAGAACCGGCACCAAGGUCCUGACCAAACUCUGGACUUUCCAGUUGUGUGAGCAUUUGAGAACCACUGGACUAGAGGAAGAUCUGAAACUACUGACUGAGGAGCGAAUGAGCCUGGUGAUCCAAGAGCAGGACUGAAGUCCAAGUGAAGAUGAAGGUGAAUCGUGCAUCCCAGAUGUGCUGGGAGCGGCCAUGGAAGCGAUGGCCUUGGAAGGGGUAGAGGGCUAUGGAUUCAGAAACGAACUCUCCAGAACUGACAUCUCCUUCAACCGGUGUCCGUCUGUUCAACCUGAUGUCCCUAGUCUCCUGGUCAGUGCCAGGAGGGUGCAUUUCGGCUGCAACCUCACUGAGGGCUCUAAACGUUUUUAAAUGCCCUCUUCUCUCACGGAAGUUGGGUAUUUAUUCUUUCCUGUUGCCAACCCUAAGAUGUCAUGCUUACUUUCUCUCAAGUUUCUUUAUAUUUCUGAAUUUCUAGAUUUCCUUUUUGGCGGAAUUUAGCCCAGAAUAACAGGGUUCCUUGUGAGCCUGUGAGUAACCCAAGCAAAGAAUUUAUCAAGCCUCUCUGAUAUGCCCGGGAAAAAGCUGUGGCAUAGCUCAGGAAAGACAGGUGCACUAAUAAAGAUGUUGAUAAAAUUC